ACGGGAGACACACGGCGGGUGCUAACGUCCGUCGUGAAGAGGGAAACAACCCAGACCGCCAGCUAAGGUCCCAAAGUCAUGGUUAAGUGGGAAACGAUGUGGGAAGGCCCAGACAGCCAGGAUGUUGGCUUAGAAGCAGCCAUCAUUUAAAGAAAGCGUAAUAGCUCACUGGUCGAGUCGGCCUGCGCGGAAGAUGUAACGGGGCUAAACCAUGCACCGAAGCUGCGGCAGCGACACUAUGUGUUGUUGGGUAGGGGAGCGUUCUGUAAGCCUGUGAAGGUGUGCUGUGAGGCAUGCUGGAGGUAUCAGAAGUGCGAAUGCUGACAUAAGUAACGAUAAAGCGGGUGAAAAGCCCGCUCGCCGGAAGACCAAGGGUUCCUGUCCAACGUUAAUCGGGGCAGGGUGAGUCGACCCCUAAGGCGAGGCCGAAAGGCGUAGUCGAUGGGAAACAGGUUAAUAUUCCUGUACUUGGUGUUACUGCGAAGGGGGGACGGAGAAGGCUAUGUUGGCCGGGCGACGGUUGUCCCGGUUUAAGCGUGUAGGCUGAUUUUCCAGGCAAAUCCGGAAAAUCAAGGCUGAGGCGUGAUGACGAGGCACUACGGUGCUGAAGCAACAAAUGCCCUGCUUCCAGGAAAAGCCUCUAAGCAUCAGGUAACAUCAAAUCGUACCCCAAACCGACACAGGUGGUCAGGUAGAGAAUACCAAGGCGCUUGAGAGAACUCGGGUGAAGGAACUAGGCAAAAUGGUGCCGUAACUUCGGGAGAAGGCACGCUGAUAUGUAGGUGAAGCGACUUGCUCGUGGAGCUGAAAUCAGUCGAAGAUACCAGCUGGCUGCAACUGUUUAUUAAAAACACAGCACUGUGCAAACACGAAAGUGGACGUAUACGGUGUGACGCCUGCCCGGUGCCGGAAGGUUAAUUGAUGGGGUUAGCGGUAACGCGAAGCUCUUGAUCGAAGCCCCGGUAAACGGCGGCCGUAACUAUAACGGUCCUAAGGUAGCGAAAUUCCUUGUCGGGUAAGUUCCGACCUGCACGAAUGGCGUAAUGAUGGCCAGGCUGUCUCCACCCGAGACUCAGUGAAAUUGAACUCGCUGUGAAGAUGCAGUGUACCCGCGGCAAGACGGAAAGACCCCGUGAACCUUUACUAUAGCUUGACACUGAACAUUGAGCCUUGAUGUGUAGGAUAGGUGGGAGGCUUUGAAGUGUGGACGCCAGUCUGCAUGGAGCCGACCUUGAAAUACCACCCUUUAAUGUUUGAUGUUCUAACGUUGGCCCGUUAUCCGGGUUGCGGACAGUGUCUGGUGGGUAGUUUGACUGGGGCGGUCUCCUCCUAAAGAGUAACGGAGGAGCACGAAGGUUGGCUAAUCCUGGUCGGACAUCAGGAGGUUAGUGCAAUGGCAUAAGCCAGCUUGACUGCGAGCGUGACGGCGCGAGCAGGUGCGAAAGCAGGUCAUAGUGAUCCGGUGGUUCUGAAUGGAAGGGCCAUCGCUCAACGGAUAAAAGGUACUCCGGGGAUAACAGGCUGAUACCGCCCAAGAGUUCAUAUCGACGGCGGUGUUUGGCACCUCGAUGUCGGCUCAUCACAUCCUGGGGCUGAAGUAGGUCCCAAGGGUAUGGCUGUUCGCCAUUUAAAGUGGUACGCGAGCUGGGUUUAGAACGUCGUGAGACAGUUCGGUCCCUAUCUGCCGUGGGCGCUGGAGAACUGAGGGGGGCUGCUCCUAGUACGAGAGGACCGGAGUGGACGCAUCACUGGUGUUCGGGUUGUCAUGCCAAUGGCACUGCCCGGUAGCUAAAUGCGGAAGAGAUAAGUGCUGAAAGCAUCUAAGCACGAAACUUGCCCCGAGAUGAGUUCUCCCUGACUCCUUGAGAGUCCUGAAGGAACGUUGAAGACG
rnacentral:rRNA from 1 species